rnacentral:lncRNA from 1 species
CCCUUUCUUCUCACUUUCACUCUCACUCUCUUAUCUCUCUCUUUAACAACAGGUGGAGUUGCUUGAUGGUUGUUAGGGUGCGAUUGCAGGUGGUGGUGGAUUAGGGGUAGUUGUGAUGGCGGGUUAGAUGCGGUGGGUGAAGGGGUGGUUGUGGUGGUGGGUUAGGUGCGACGGUGGGUGAAGGGGUGGUUUGUGGUGAUGAGUUAGGUGCAGCGGUGGAGGUGUUGUUAUGGGCGAUUGCAGGUGGUGGUGGCCGAAGACUCGAUGCCAGAAUUGUUUUUUGUGAAUGCUGUGAAAUAGAGUUAUUCCAACCUGGUUAAUUUAAUGAUCAAUCACUUUGCGUCAUUUUGGUUACAAAAAGACUUCAAAUUUUCUUGAAUAUUUUGUGGAUCAUUGUUGUAUGGAGUGAAAACUGCUAUUGCCUUGAAUUUUCUUUUCAUUUGCCAACAUAUACUGCUAUUGGAGUAACUUUUCAAUCACUCUUUUUUAAUAUUCCUCUUGGCAAGAGCAUUGGAGUUUAUACACUUUUUUUUGGGGCUCAGUUCAGUUAAGAAAACUGAAGAUGUGUUAGUUAAACAUUGUGGAGCAUGGUGGGUGUGGCGGUAUUUGGGUUUGUUGAGAAUGGUCGCAGAUUUCCGCCGGUUUUCUGGAUUCCGACCACCGGUUCUCUGAUCUGAACUCGUUUUAUUCGCCGGAGGCGAAUCAGGUAAGUUUUUCACCGGAAAAUGAUGUGGAUUGGUUUGGUUUAGAUUGUCAGUGUGAAGAGGAUUAUGUGCUGAUGUUAAAUGUUGGAUUGUAGUUUGAUAGUUUGUGGUUUGUGAUCUGCUGGUUUUGUUUCAACAGGAAGGAUUGUGUGAUGGUUAUAAACCCUAAUAAUAUUAAAUAAAUGAGGUAAAAAGACUAAAAUGCCCUUAUGUGCAACGCACAUGACCAGAUUUAACCAAAAAAUCUAACUGAGUUUGGCUUAAAGGACAAAACUUGCAAGAUUUUGAAACGUAAAGGACACCGCCUGAUAACUUUUUGGCUAAAGGACAACGCCUGAAAUUUGAUGUAAAGAUAAAGGACAAAACUUGUAAUUUACUCAUAAAAAAAUUUAGUAUAUAUGCCUAAGGGACUAAUUUAACUGAAAAUAGUGUAUUUAGGGUGAAUUUAAUAUUUAUAAUAGGACCAUUUUAUAUUGUUGAGUUGUAGUACUAGUUGUGAUUAAACUUCCAGUUAAAAUGGAUGCUAAUUUGGAUUGUACGUUGCAUGGGUAGUUUCUAUAAUUUUUCAAACUCUAAGCGAAUUAUGAAGUGGAGAUCAUUUUAAAAAAUUAUUUUUUUAUUUAGUAACAAAACUCUCCUCUUUUAUUCGGGGUUGAGACAUGCAAGUAUAAACUAAAAAGUUUUUAGUUAGUGAAGUUAUCAUUAUUUUUUUGAAAGUUAUAGUUAAAUGCCAUUUUAUUUCCUGUGGUUUAGGCCAUUUUAACAGUUUAGUUCUUAAGUUUCAUUUUUGGAGAGAGUUUUGUAAAUAUUUUAGUGAGUUGAAAUGGUGGAAAGGGUAGGUAUUUAUAGUAUUAAAUAUAAAAGAAAUUGAUUUUUUUUAUUUAAAGGUAGUUACCAUUUAUAACGGUAACUUACCUUGAUUAACCCAAACAAGUCGCGUGGUCUAGAGCACAAUUAGGGGCCGUUUUUGCCCAAUCACAAGCUAGGGAGCGGUGUUCCCUUGUGGUUGGGGUGUUCUCUAUGCGCAAGAACGAACGCCACUACUCAUGGUCUUAGUGCAUUUAGAUGCUAAUAAUACCAAUGUAUAUGAUCUAAGUGUUCUAACUUUUAAGAAUUCAAAUUUCAAUCAAGACUCAACUUAGUCAUGGGUACUCUUACACAAGUGAUUGACCAAGUGUACCAUGGGGUUAGGGGUAGACAAGAAUUCAAAUGUCAAUCAAGACUCAACUUAGUCAUGGACUCAACAGUUGAUUGAUGGGUUUUUAAAGAACACUAAAUGUGUGAUAAAAUGGUCCUUCAAGUGGGACUUUUUAAUGGGUAAACCAUAUUUUAGGCUUGUUAUCCUUUUUUUUAAAUGGACUUGCGACUAAAUUUUUUAAAGGUAAAAAAUUGUAUGAAAAAAAAAAUGUUGGUAUAGGGGUUGUAAAUAUCUUUCAUACAAGUCGGCGUGAGAUCAACAUUAAAAAAUUUAUAUGGUCGGUCCAAAACUAGUAACAUACGUAUUGGAAAUAUAGGUGAAAAUAGCAUUUUUCACAAAUAUAGGAGAAUGAUUUUUUUCGAUUUGGACUAGAAAUAAAUAUAAUAAAAUGAGCGGGUUUUAUGUAUUUAUUUGUGGGUUUAUGUUCUAUGUUGGAAGAGCUUCGCAACGAACUAAACCACGUCCAAAACGGAGCUAAGAUGAAUGAGAUAUCGAUGCUCAAAGUUGGGUGUUUAGAACAUUCAAUGCUGAAACUAAAGGGAAAGUAGCACCUUGUCCCACAUCGGAGGAGAGAUGGAACUUAAAUGGGUAUUUAAGGUGGAACUCUCCAUCCUUCUUGUAUUUUGGUUUAUAUCAGUUGUAUUCGUACUAGUAUUUUAGCUUUCUAAUUUCUUUAUUGUAAUCGUAUUAAUAAAAUUUGUUUUAUUUUAUUUAAUUACGCGAACGGUUCCUACAAUCUUAAAACAAAUUUUUAAAACCGUUCGUGUAAUCAAAACCAUUUUGUUUGUGAUU